UACGAAGGGGGGCUAGCGUUGCUCGGAAUCACUGGGCGUAAAGCGCACGUAGGCGGGUCGUUUAAGUCGGGGGGUGAAAUCCUGGAGCUCAACUCCAGAACUGCCUUCGAUACUGGCGACCUUGAGUCCGGGAGAGGUGAGUGGAACUCCGAGUGUAGAGGUGAAAUUCGUAGAUAUUCGGAAGAACACCAGUGGCGAAGGCGGCUCACUGGCCCGGUACUGACGCUGAGGUGCGAAAGCGUGGGGAGCAAACAGG
rnacentral:rRNA from 1 species